GAGCUUCCUCUUCACGAUAUGAAAGUAGCAAAGGAGGCAAGCUGAUGAGUAACGCAGCACCAGAAAAAAUGCCUACUGAAAAUGAGCAAAUAGUCAAUGAGAUACUCCAUAAUACACAUGGUUCUUUUGCUGACAUCUCCGAUGGUACUGGUACUGUUGAAGGUGAUUUCAAGGUUAGCUACAAUCUUAAUGUAAAGUUCAGCAGCACAAAUAAUAUAAAAUUUGCAAUGUAUAUCAUCAAAGUUAUUAUUAUCAGUUUUGAGGGUUUUUUGGGAAAUUAACAUAUCUGAAUUCAGGGUGUAUGAGAUGAUUCUCUUCUUGUGUAAUUCUAUAUUUCCUAUCCUUUUUGUUGUCAGGUAAAAGUCAAGGAAACAAUGGAGAAAGCUUUCUGGGAUGUGGUUGCGGAUUCAAUGAGAGGGGACAUGCCAGACUAUGGUUAUCUGGUCAGCCUGGUAAAGGAAAUCAGGGAAGCAUUGGAAGAGUUAGCUCCUCCAGGGUGGAAAGUAGAAAUCAGUGACAAUAUUAACCUUGAAAUUUUGACCCAGGUAAGAAUAUUUCAGUUAGUAUAUUGUGGAUUAUAGUGAACUGCGAUGCAUAUUUGAGACAAAUGUAUAUUGUUUUUGGCGGAAAGCUACUUGAAUCAGGUUCCCAGGACAGAAAAUACCUUGGACAAAUUUUGCAGUACUCCCUGGAUAAGCUUCGGAAACUGUCUUCUCCUGCGAAGGAACUCGAGAUGAAGAAGAGUCAUGAUAAAUUGUUGGGAGAAUUGAUUGAAGGCUCUGAAUCUAAUUAUAGAGAUUCAAAUUCAUUUGUUCUUUGUGUUAUCAAGGGUUUGCGCUUCACUAUGGAGGAAUUAGAGGUCCUUACUAUAUGAGUCUGUUUCAAAUAAACUGAUGAGCUAUAUGUGAACUUACAAUAUUACCUCAUGAAUAAAUUUCCUUACUGAUACAGGCUCUAAAAGCAGAAGUCAAUAGAGCACGCAUCCAACUAUUGGAACCAAUGAUCAAGGGACCAGGUGGAGUGGAGUACCUGCAUAAGUCUUUUGCUGAUCGCUAUGGUUCCCCUUCUGAUGCGUUAGCUACUCUCCCUUCAACUGCCCGGUGGAUUUCCUCC
rnacentral:lncRNA from 1 species